rnacentral:rRNA from 1 species
GAUGAACGCUGGCGGCGUGCCUAAUACAUGCAAGUCGAGCGAACGGACGAGAAUCUUGCUUCUCUGAUGUUAGCGGCGGACGGGUGAGUAACACGUGGAUAACCUACCUAUAAGACUGGGAUAACUUCGGGAAACCGGAGCUAAUACCGGAUGAUAUUUUGAACCGCAUGGUUCAAAAGUGAAAGACGGUCUUGCUGUCACUUAUAGAUGGAUCCGCGCUGCAUUAGCUAGUUGGUAAGGUAACGGCUUACCAAGGCAACGAUGCAUAGCCGACCUGAGAGGGUGAUCGGCCACACUGGAACUGAGACACGGUCCAGACUCCUACGGGAGGCAGCAGUAGGGAAUCUUCCGCAAUGGGCGAAGGCCUGACGGAGCAACGCCGCGUGAGUGAUGAAGGUCUUCGGAUCGUAAAACUCUGUUAUUAGGGAAGAACAUGUGUGUAAGUAACUGUGCACAUCUUGACGGUACCUAAUCAGAAAGCCACGGCUAACUACGUG